rnacentral:lncRNA from 1 species
CACGAGAUUUAUGGUGGCUCUGCUUCUCUCUAUGCAGUUCUCUAGGCUCUGCUGCCCAAGUGUGUCUGCUUUAUCUCAGGUCUGGCUUCCUGCCAGGUGUUGUGGUUGUCACCAUCACUCAGGGCAACAGGCUGCCUUGUUCCCAUUUGGGUAUAAGACAAGAAAAACUUCCUGCAGUCCCUAAAGGAAAGUCUGAAGCCAGACAAGGCCUACAGCUCCGGUAGCCACGGAGACAGGAGGCGUGGUGCUGCGCUGGUGGCUUGGAUCCAUCAGAGCCCACCUGGGAGGUCCCAACCUGCCUCACAAUGGGGGAAGAUGGAUAGACGCCGAGAACAGGAGCUCAACAGGCACCAUAGGAUCAUAAACCUCAUUUACAGGUAAGGAGACGGGGCCUAAGGAUCUCCCAAAGUCCAAAAUCUAGUUUACGGCAAAUCAAAGACCAGCUAUCAGCAGUCUUGGCUGCAGGUCAGUUGGCUGCCUGUGAAUCAAUAAUGACAUAGAAGGCCUUGAUGGAAGCCAACACCCCAUCCCUGGGGAGCCUGAGGCAGGGCGAUGGCAUCAUGGCCAUAAAAGGAAGGCCCACAUUGGGAUCCGGGACCGGGGUCCCUAACGUGGAACUCCAUGGAGCACGGUGGAGAUGAACCCACUAAUCCCAGGAUGGGCCCAAAGUGAGGUAGGGGUGGGCUUGUCCUGUCUACUUUCUUGGAUUUGUCAUUUCCUGAGACAGACUCUGGCUUCCCCUCUGCUCUCUCCUCCCUGCCCUGCUCCCAGGCUGAGAUGGACAAGCACGAGUUGGUAAUUGUGUUAGUUCAGUUUCCUCCCUGGCCCUGCCCUCCCCAUAAUCUGAUUUCCAAGGGAUAAAGGAUAGUAGGGUCCAGGCUCAGGAAGAAAUCUGUUCCCUUGUGUCUGUUGGACCUGCUAAUUUGAUAGAACUGCUGGCUGAGCUUCCACAGAACCCCCAUUAGAAACAGAUUUCAUCUGGUUCCCGCAACCAUGGCCCUAGAGAGCUUUCCUGUUCUCAGCCUAGAAGGAAAUUCAGUUUCCGAUUCAAUUUCUGCAUAAGCAAGUUAAGUCCUCAUGAUAAAAAUGGUAACCAGUGAUUGAGCACCUACUAUGUGCCACACUCCGUGCUAGGUACCUUAAUAUCCAGGGAUACACUAGGUAUGCUAUCACAGGUGCUCUGGGCCUGGGACUGUUUCCCUUGGCUGCUGGUCCCCUUUUACAGGAUUCUCCCUGUAUUUGAAUGGAUGUGCCCUUGGGCAGGAGGACUGCAGCCAGCUUUUGAAUGGUGCUCAAGAGGAGCCACGUUCUAGGGCAAGACACUGCCCCAGUGUCCUCUCCUACCCAAGGACUCCCAGUGUCCAUAGCCACUCUUCCCCACCACCCUGCCCCAUUGUAGCAACGACCACCAGUAGCUACAAAGGCUCCUGAAACUCAUCCUGCCCCGCCUCCUGGAAGGGCGAAGGGCAGAAAGAGAGUCAGAGGCUCCUGGAGAGAAGCAGCUCUGCCCUCUGUUAAUCAUGUUACUUAAACCCUGAGCUGAGGCUUCCUCAUCUGGAAAAUGGGGAUAAUAUAAUCUACCCUACAGGGCAGUUAAGAAUUACUUAAGGCUGGGGUAUAGCUCAGUGGUAGAGAGCUUGCCUAGCAUGCUCCAGGCUGUGGGUUUAAUUCCCAGCAUCACAAAAGGAGAAGAUAAAAAACAAAACAACGACAACAACAACAAAAAACACUUCAACUUUUAAAAAUUACUUAAAAGUUAAGAAUACUUAACUGAAACUCUACCCUCCCACACAUACCUCCACACAUACAAGAGAUGGCACUCAGGGCACUCUCUCACUGUGCUACACCCCCAGGCCUUUUAAUUUUUUGUUUUGAUACAGUCUCACUAAGUUGCUAAGGCUGGCCUCAAACUUGCGCUCCUCCUGACUCAGCCUCCCAAGUCACUGGGAUUCUAGGUGAGUGCCACUCAUACCUGGCUAGUCUCAGUUUGAGGUACGAAUCAUGACUCAUCCCUGGUUCCAGGGUUUUUCCAGAGUCUGGACCACAUCUGGGCCUGGUUGUCACCAGCUCCCCCUGGACCUCCUUCCCGGGAAUCUCAGGGUGCUCACAGUGGCGCAGGGCAGUGGGGUACGGCUUGCCAGUUAGCUCACCACACGCAAACUAGAGCCACCUGCUUGCUCCUUGAGGAUCCCUGUCCCCAAGUAGCUCAUGUUCUCAGCACACAAUGAAUGAAUGAAUGUGUGAAGUGACAUGUAGCCACACAUGCUCUGUCCCAGCUAUGAAAGAGGCUACUAGACACUGAGCUAAGGUGCUGGUAUGACUGCCACCCCAGAGAAGUGACCAGUGAUUCCCUUGUGCCAUCCACCAGACAGUAUGUACCCACUUCCCCAGGCAGCCAGCCCACUACUGGAAUCAACUGGGGUGCCCCAAGGUACAGCUGGAUUAUCCCCCACCCUGGAGAGGUCCCUUCUCUCAGGCUGCUUCUGAGGAACAGGCCUGGGCCCAGCCCCUGCUGCCCAACUCUGAGCACAGGUUCAGACCAGUGGCCCUGGGCACUAGUGUGGAAAGGACACUGACACCCCCUCUCCAAGAGCUCCAAGCCUGGCUCUCCUAGACUUGCUGCCCUGCCUCAUUCAAAUCUGCCCCAUUGUCAUGUCUCCAAGAGGACUUUGCUACCCAUCUUACUGAAUUAGCCAGCCCCACACAUGACCAUACCCCAUUGACCCCAUCCUGACGGCUUAGCUUAGACUGCUUGGUCUGUUGAGCACAUAUUACUAUGUGGUGCUUCAUAGGUUCCCCAAUUUCUUUCUUUCUUUGUUUUACUUUUUGAAAUGUAUUUGAUUUUAAAUGCAGGUUCCCCAAUUUCUUUGUUUUGGUCUCCCCAUGUCAUGAGAAUGUAAGAUCCACAUGGACAGGGCCUUGCACCUGUUAUGGUCCCAAGUACACCAUGAGCAUUCGAUACAGGCACACUGAAUGAAUGAAUGAAUGGAUGCACGUAUUAAUGAGUGAAUAAAAAUAUUAUUUUUCAUUGUUUUCCUAGAUAAUUGUUAAUUUUAGUUUUGAUUUCCUCCCUAUCUAAUGAUUAGGCAUGUUUCUUAAUUUCUGUAUCCAAGGAUUCUGCAUCCUCUGAGUCAACCAAUGGCGGAUAAAAAAUAUUUUUUUAAAAAAUUGCUUUCAUACAAAACACAUAGCAAACAUUUUUUCUUAUCAUUAUUCCCUAAACAAUAUAAUACAACAACUAUUUAUAUAGCAUUUACAUUGUAUUAGGUAUUAUAAGUAAUCUACAAAUUACUUAUACUAUAUAAUGGUGAUGCAUGCCUCUAAACCCAUGUUGAGGCAGAGGAGCCCAAGUUCAAGGUCAGCCUCAGCAAUUUAAGGAAACUUGUCUCAAAUUAAAAGAAGAAGAAGAAGAGGAGGAGGAGGAGGAGGAGGAGGAGAUGGAAAAAAGGACCAGGGAUGUAACCCAGUGGCAGAUUCCCUGGGUUCAAUCCCCAGGACUGCAAAAAUAAAUAAAUAAAGAUUUAAAAAUAAACUACAUAGGAGAAUGUUCACAGAUAUGUGCACAUACCACACCACUUUAUAUAAGGACUUUUUUGAGCACCUGUGAAUGUUGGUAUCUGAAGAAGUACUAGAACUAGUCCCCUGAGGAUAGAGGGACAACUAUAACUAGACUUUUUGAGAAACAGGCUGGAUGAGGUGGGCUGCUUGUAAUCCCAGCAAUUCGGGAAGCUGAGGCAGGAAAAUUGCAAGUUUGAGACCAUCUUCAGAAACUUAAGGAGACCUUGUCUCAAAAUAAAAAUCAUAAUUUUAAAAAGGGCUGGAGGUAUAUCUCAGUGGAAGAGUACCCUGGGUUAAAUCUCCAGCACCACGAAAUCAAAUAAGUGAGUAAAUAAAAAGAAAAAGAACGGGAGUUGUAGUUCAAUAAUAGAAUGCCUCUGGGUUCAAUCCCCAGCACUGAAGGAGAAAAAGGGGAUAUUGGAAUCAUAUUUGUGUCUAAUUUUAUUGGAUUAUGAUCAGAGAAUAUGGCCCAUUAAAUCUCAGCUUUUAAGUUUUUAUGAAGGUUUUCUUUUUAUUCAUUUUCUUUUUUUUUUUUCAUUUUAAAACCUUUUAUAUUAGAAUAGUUCUACCGUGCACAAAAGGAGAAAAUAUUGCCAUGAAGCUUCACAUCCCCAUCAUCGGGGUUCCACGAUCAUCAAUUCAUGGUCAGCCUUGUUUCUCUAGUACCCCUCCCAUUAUUUUGAAGUAAAUCCCAAAGUACUGACUUAUUGAAAAUGCCUCAUGAUCACAGGGAAAAAUAUAUUCUAUUUAGUGGAUGCAAUGAAAAAUUAAUUGCAUCAUUCAAACCCAUUGUAAUUCUUUUCUUUAAUGGUAGUUCUCUUAAUUAUAAGAGGACAACUAAAACACUUUCAUUUUUUAUGAACUUCUGCUUGCGUCUGUAACAGUCUUUGCUGUCUAUAAUUAACUUCUAUUUGGUUCACACAGGUUUUAUGGCUGCUGGCAGGCUAGCAUCUAUUGAGCACUUUGGUUAAAAAUAGGUCCAGAGAGAGAACCAUUCAGUUCUCAGAGCUACUUAUGAAAGUCCCCUUCCUAUUUACAUCUGGGAUGGGAACAACACAGCCCAAAUGGUAAUGGUCUCAAAAUUACCAGCCUGUGAAAAUGAGGGUGGAGAAUGAAACUGUUAUUUGAGCCCAUGCUGGAAAGAAUUAAAUUCUAAAACCCUGCAUCCGGGUUCCACAAUGAAUGAUGGUAAACUGUGUCAGAGGAAGCGAAGGUCACCUGGGAAGGCUCCAUGCAGCUUUCAGGACCCACAGAGCUCUCCCAACACAGGUAGGUGAUUCUUAGAGACACUAAGCCUGCAGGACAGGAGAGAGGAUUAGAGGCUCAUACACAAGGCAGGCUUCUAGAACCACAGCUCAGUUGCCCUCUUUAGACUUAAUUCCUCAACAUUAGUCUUAAUUUUGUGUGUGUGUGAGAGAGAGGUAUUGAAGAUGCAACCAAGGGCCUCAUGCUCACUAGAUAGGUGCCAUACGACUGAGCCAGACCCCCAAGCUCAAUCAGCUUCUUUUCUUUAGGUAAGGAUAAGGGACAUGCUCUUUGGAAAGGCUGGCCUCUACCUGCCUACCUUCCUCUUUUCUUUCUUCCUUUAUUUUUAAAUAUAUAUUUUUAAAUUUUUUGGAAUUUCUUUUUUUUUUGGCAUUUUGAAGGCUUUUUUUUAAAUUGGAGGUGUAACUUUUAAACAGCAAGGCACACUCAUCUUUAAUGAUAAAUUCCAAUCAAAAGUCCCUUGAGCCGGGCGCGGUGGCACACACCUGUAAUCCCAGCAGCUUAAGAGGCUGAGGCAGGAGGAUCACGAAUUCAAAGCCAACCUCUGCAAAGGGAGGCACUAAGUCACUCAGUGAGACCCUGUCGCUAAAUAAAAUACAAAAUAGAACUGGGGGUAUGGUUCAGUGGUUGAGCGCCCCUGAGUUCAGUCCCCAGUACCAAAAAAAAAAAAAAAGAAAAAGAAAAAAGUCCUAUAAUUUUCACACACCUGUAUAGCUAUACCCCAGAUCAAGAUGCUGGGUAUUCCUGCCACCCAGGGCCCUCCCUAUGUCCUUUCCUGCCCCAGCCUCCUCCACCUCCACUCCCACUCUGCCAGGAAGCUACUCUUCUGCUUCCUGUCUCCAUGGAUUGAUUUUGCCUGUUCCCUAACUUUAUAACGUGAAUGUAAAGCCUCCUUGGAGAUUUGGCUCUGACUUUCCCACACCUCCAUGCUGGGUGACCCCAGGAAGACCAGCCAGCUGUGCCGACAGCUGGCUUGCCAAGUACAAAACCCAGUGAGACCAGGGCUGUCCCCACUGUCUGUUCUUGAUCAGAUGGACACCAUGCCCUGACCUUGAGCCUGGCCUACCAGCCUCCCUCUUGUACUCGCUGACCACUGACCACAGACACUCAGGAGGAGAGUGAUGUGACAGGCAGACAAUCCUCACCUCUGCCAGGAAGGUACAAAGUCAUGUGGAACAGGAGUCUAACACCCUGGAUCUUGAUCAUUCUCCACUAAUUGUAUAACCUCCCUUGAUCCCUCAUCUUCUUCAUCUGUAAAAUGGCAUGCUAAUGAUGCUUUCCUCACAAGAGAGAGUAUAGGAAAGUGCUUUACAAACCAUCAAGUGUCAUGAAAGAAUAAGGAGUCGUUGCUAUUACCAUAGGAGACUUCCAAACUCCAAAUAGGCAUGAGCCCAAAGGCACAGUCAACCUAAGCAGGCUACCAUGGCCCUUCUAUAAUGACUUUUCUGCUUAUUUUUCAAGGCAGAAAACUGGAGUCUGAUGGGAACCCCUGGAAGGCUUUGAUAUAGCCUCUCCACCAGUUUAAUUACAGCUGUCAUUUGUCAAGGGAUCAUCGUGUGCCUAGUAAAGUCCUGAGAAUUAUACAAGCAUGCUCUCCUUUACUUAGGGAAAUUCCUCAUAGAUACUGUUAUCAUUCAGUUGUACAGAUGAAGAAACUGAGGCACCAAGAGUUUAAAAAAUGCCAAAGUUAUAAAGCAAGUGACAGAACUGGAAUUUGAACCAAGAAUUAUGAUUUGAGAAACUUCACACUUUUUGUGGGGAGAUGGUACUGGGUAUUGAACUCAGGGGCACAUCCCCAGCCCUAUUUUGAAUUUUUAUUUUAUUUUAGUUUAGUUUAGUUAUACAUGGACACAAUGUCUUUAUUUUGUCAAUUUAUUUUUAUGUGGUUCUGAGGAUUGAACCCAGUACCUCACACAUUUGAGACAAGCACUCUGCCUCUGAGCCCCAGCCCCAAGCCCCCCUAUUUUGUAUUUUAUUUAGAGACAGGAUCUCACUGAGUUGCUUAGCGCCUCACUUCUGCUAAGGCUGGCUUUGAACUCAUGAUUCUCCUGCCUCAGGCUCCCAAACUGCUGGAUUACAAGCAUGCUCCCCUGCACCCAGCUAGAACCUUCACUCUUUUUUUUUUUAAUAUAUUUUUAGUUGUAGAUGGACACAAUGCCUUUAUUUAUUUAUCUUUAUGUAAUGCUGAGGAUCGGACCCAGGACCUUACACAUGCUAGGCCAGCGCUCUACCGCUGAGCCACAACCCCAGCCCUAGAAACUUCACUCUUGAGCGGCCUCUCUGACAGUCCCUUAACCUUAACCCUUAAAUUUUUCAUCAUGAAAGAAAUAACACCUUCCUUAUAGUAUGAUUGAAAUAAUAUAUGAGAAAAUUUGGCANGAAGCUACUCUUCUGCUUCCUGUCUCCAUGGAUUGAUUUUGCCUGUUCCCUAACUUCAUAACGUGAAUGUAAAGCCUCCUUGGAGACUUGGCUCUGACUUUCCCACACCUCCAUGCUGGGUGACCCCAGGAAGACCAGCCAGCUGUGCCGACAGCUGGCUUGCCAAGUACACAACCCAGUGAGACCAGGGCUGUCCCCACUGUCUGUUCUUGAUCAGAUGGACACCAUGCCCUGACCUUGAGCCUGGCCUAUCAGCCUCCCUCUUGUACUCGCUGACCACUGACCACAGACACUCAGGAGGAGAGUGAUGUGACAGGCAGACAAUCCUCACCUCUGCCAGGAAGGUACAAAGUCAUGUGGAACAGGAGUCUAACACCCUGGAUCUUGAUCAUUCUCCACUAAUUGUAUAACCUCCCUUGAUCCCUCAUCUUCUUCAUCUGUAAAAUGGCAUGCUAAUGAUGCUUUCCUCACAAGAGAGAGUAUAGGAAAGUGCUUUACAAACCAUCAAGUGUCAUGAAAGAAUAAGGAGUCGUUGCUAUUACCAUAGGAGACUUCCAAACUCCAAAUAGGCAUGAGCCCAAAGGCACAGUCAACCUAAGCAGGCUACCAUGGCCCUUCUAUAAUGACUUUUCUGCUUAUUUUUCAAGGCAGAAAACUGGAGUCUGAUGGGAACCCCUGGAAGGCUUUGAUAUAGCCUCUCCACCAGUUUAAUUACAGCUGUCAUUUGUCAAGGGAUCAUCGUGUGCCUAGUAAAGUCCUGAGAAUUAUACAAGCAUGCUCUCCUUUACUUAGGGAAAUUCCUCAUAGAUACUGUUAUCAUUCAGUUGUACAGAUGAAGAAACUGAGGCACCAAGAGUUUAAAAAAUGCCAAAGUUAUAAAGCAAGUGACAGAACUGGAAUUUGAACCAAGAAUUAUGAUUUGAGAAACUUCACACUUUUUGUGGGGAGAUGGUACUGGGUAUUGAACUCAGGGGCACAUCCCCAGCCCUAUUUUGAAUUUUUAUUUUAGUUUAGUUAUACAUGGACACAAUGUCUUUAUUUUGUCAAUUUAUUUUUAUGUGGUUCUGAGGAUUGAACCCAGUACCUCACACAUUUGAGACAAGCACUCUGCCUCUGAGCCCCAGCCCCAAGCCCCCCUAUUUUGUAUUUUAUUUAGAGACAGGAUCUCACUGAGUUGCUUAGCGCCUCACUUCUGCUAAGGCUGGCUUUGAACUCAUGAUUCUCCUGCCUCAGGCUCCCAAACUGCUGGAUUACAAGCAUGCUCCCCUGCACCCAGCUAGAACCUUCACUCUUUUUUUUUUUAAUAUAUUUUUAGUUGUAGAUGGACACAAUGCCUUUAUUUAUUUAUCUUUAUGUAAUGCUGAGGAUCGGACCCAGGACCUUACACAUGCUAGGCCAGCGCUCUACCGCUGAGCCACAACCCCAGCCCUAGAAACUUCACUCUUGAGCGGCCUCUCUGACAGUCCCUUAACCUUAACCCUUAAAUUUUUCAUCAUGAAAGAAAUAACACCUUCCUUAUAGUAUGAUUGAAAUGAUAUAUGAGAAAAUUUGGCAUAUAUUAUAGUACAUGUUUCUUAAAUGUUGUUUCCUUUCACAUAUGUGUGUUUGGUCAAUUUUCAGGGCAGAUAUAUUCACUCUACCACCAACGUGGUUGUGCCAUUUUUUAAUUUUAAUUUUUAUUUAUACUGGAGAUUAAUUCCAGGGAUGUUCUACCACUGAUACAUCCUCAGUCCUUUUUAAAAAUUAUUUUUAAAUCGUCUUUACCCUUGGGGCUGGGGAUGUGCCUCAAGCGGCAGCACGCUCGCCUGGCAUGCGUGUGGCCUGGGUUCGAUCCUCAGCACCACAUACAAACAAUGAUGUUGUGUCCGCUGAAAACUAAAAAAAAAAAAUUUAAAAAAAAUUCUCUCUCUCUCUCUCUCUUUAAAAAAAUAAUAAAUUGUCUUUACCCAUUUAAAAAAGUAAGUUAUUUGCCUUCUUAGUGUUGAGGUGUAAGAAUUCGUUUUAUCUUUUGGAUUCAAAUCCUGUUACAGAUAUAAGCGUUGCAAAUAUUUCCUCCCAGACUGUAAUUUGUCUUCCCGUUUUCUUCACAAUAUUUUUCAAAGAAUAAAAUGUUUAAAUUCUGAUGAGGUCUAUCACUUUUUCAUUUAUGAUCUGCAGGGGAGGGUUGGUUUGUUUUUUGUACCAGGGAUUGAACCCAGGGGUGCUUAGCCACUGAGCCAUAUUCCCAGCCCUUAUAAAUAUUUUUUUUCUAGAGACAGGUCUCACUGAGUUGCUCAGUACCUCACUAAAUUGCUGAGGCUGGCUUAGAACUCACAAUCCUCCUGCCUCAGCCUCCCAAGCUGCUGGGAUUAUAGGUGGGUGCCACCGCGCCCGGGGUUGCUCUGCAGUUUUGAGUUCCAUCUAAGAAAUCUAUGAAACCCAAUAUCACAAAAAUUUUUCCUACAUUUUAUUCUAAAAGUUUUGCAUUUACGCUUUUACCUUUAGGUAUAUAAAUUCAUCUUGAGUUAAUUUUGGUGUAAGGUAUGAGGUAAGGGUUGCAAUUCCUAAUUUUCAUAUGAAAACCAGCACUAUGUCUGGAAAACAUUCUCUAUUAAUUGCCCUGUCACUUUAAAAACAAAACAACUGAUUGGAUGUGUAUUGGUCUAUUUCCAGACUUUUCAUAAUGUUCUGUUGAUCUAUCUGCCUUUACACCAUCACCAUAUUAUCUUCUUUACAUAGCUUCGUAACAAGUCUUGAAAUCAGUCAAUGUAAGUUUUCCACCUUUGUUCUUCCUUUACAAAACUGUUUUAUCUAGGUCAUUUCUAGUUCCAUAUACAUUUUUUAAGUGAAUUUGUUAUUUUUAGAUAUACAUGACAGUAGAGCAUAUUUUGACAUAUUAUACAUAGAUGUAGUAUAACUUCCCAUUCUUGUGGUUGUCAUGAUGUGGAAUUACACUGGUCGUGUAUUCAUAUAUGAACAUAGGAAAGUAAAGUCUGAUUAUUCUGCUGCCUUUCCUAUUCCCAUUCCCCAUCCCUUCCUUUCAUUCCCCUUUGUCUACAUUGAACUUCUAUUCUUCUUCCCCAAUCCUUAUUGUGUAUUAGCAUCUGCAUAUAAGAGAGAACAUUUGACCUUUGGUUUUCAGGAACUGGCUUAUCUCAUUUAGCAUGAUAGUUUCCAGUUCCAUCAAUUUAUAGCAAAUGCUAUGAUUUCAUUCUUCUUUAGGGCUGAGUAAUAUUCCAUUGUGUAUAUACAUCAUAUUUUUUUAACCCAUUCAUCUGUUGAAGGGCAUGUAGGUUAGUUCUAUAGCUUAGCUAUUAUGAAUUAAGCUGCUAUAAACAUUGAUGUGGCCACAUCACUAUAGUAUGCUGAUUUUAAAUCCUUUGGGUAUAUGCCGAGGAAUGGGAUAACUGGGUCAGAUGGUGGUUCCCUUCCAAGUUUUCUAAGGAAUCUCCAUACUGCUUUCCAGAGUGGUUGUACUAAUUUGCUGUCCCACCAACAAAGUAUGAGUGUACCUUUUCCCCCACAUCCUUGCCAACAUUUAUUGUUAUUUGUAUUCUUUAUAAUUGCCCUUCUGACUGGAGUAAGACAAAAUCUCAGUGUAGUUUUAAAUUGUAUUCCUCUAAUUGCUAGAGAUGUUGAACACUUUUUCAUAUAUUUGUUGACUGACUAUAUUUCUUCUUCUGUGAAGUGCCUGUUCAGUUCCUUUACCCAUUUAUUGAUUGGAUUAUUUGCAUUUUUGGUGUUAAGUUUUUUGAGUUAUUUGUAUUUCCUGGAGAUUAAUGCUCUGUCUGAGGGGCAGAUGGCAAAGAUUUUCUCCCAUUCCGUAGACUCUCUCUUCACAUUCUUGAUUGUUUCCUUGGCUGCGAAGAAGCUUUUUAGUUUGAUACCAUCCCAUUUGUUGAUUCUUGAUUUUAGGAGUCUUGCAUUUUAGGAGUCUUAUUGAGGAAUUUGGUUCCUAAGCUGAUAUGAAGUAGAAUUGGACCUACUUUAUCUUCUAGUAGGUCCACAUACAUUUUAGAGUUAGCUUGUCAAUUUCUACCACCAUAAAAAAAAAACAAACAAUUGGUUUGAAAACCAAUUUUAUUUGGGAUUGCCUUGAACAAAUACCUUAAUUUGAAGAGAAUUAACAUCUUUAAAAUAUUGUAUCUUUCAGGAACUGGGGUUGCGGCUCAGUGAUAGAGCACUUGCCUGGCAUGUGUGAGGUGCUGGGUUCAAUCUUCAGCACCACAUAAAAAUAAAUAAAUAAAACAAAGGUAUUAUGACCAUAUACAAAAAAAAUUUUUAAAUACUGCAUCUUUCAAUCCAUAAGCAUGAUAUCUAUUUAAUUCUUAUAUUUUUCAUAGUUAUUCUCUGUAUAGUUCUUUGUAUAUAUUUUGUUAAAUUUUUCCAUAUGAAAUAAAGUUUCUUGACAUUAUUGCAAAUGGUAUAUUUAUAUUUUUAUUUCUGAUUAUGCAUUGCUAGUAUGUAGAAAUGCAGUUGAUUUUUGUAUAUUGACUUUGUUCCAGUGUGAUCUUGCAGAACUCACUUAUUAGUUUUGAUAGCUUUUCAUAGGUACUUUAUGGCUUCCAAAUUAGACAGCCAUGUUGUCUCUGAGUAAGAAUAGUUUCCAGUCUGUGUGACUUUUAUUCCUAUUAUGUGUCUCUUGUUCUGCCUAGGACAUUGUGUUAGUCAGAUUUCCAUUGCUGUGACAAAAUACCUGAGAUAAUCAACAUAAGGAAGGAAAAAUUAUUUUGGCUCACAGUUUCAGUCCAUGGUCAAUUGGUUCUGAGCUUUGGGCUUUGGUGGCACAGUACAUUAUGGUGGGAGUACUGCCUCAUGGUGUGUGGAGGAGGUUGCUUCAUCUCAUUGUCACCUGGAAGUGAAAAAUAGAGAGAGGAAUGAAAAGGGAUCCAAAUAUACCUGAUGACCUAACUUCCUUCAAUGAGGCCCCACCUCCUACGAGUUCUGUCACCUCCCAAUGUCACCACAGGCUGUAAACUAAGAAGCCUUUACCACAUGGGUCAUAGAGGACAGAUAGGUCAUAGAAGGCAGUCUAGAUCCAAACUAUAGCAGGUAUCUGGUAAAAUGCUAAAAUGAAGUGACAAAGGCAGAUAUUUUUCCCUUUUCCCCAUCUUUGGGGGAAUAUAUUAUGUUGUAUAUAUUCCUAAUGAUUAAGAAAGUUUGUGAUAUUGCUCAGUUGGUAGAGUGCUUGCCUUGCAUGCACAAGGCCCUAGGUUCAAUCCCCAGCACCACACACACACCCCACAAAAAGAAAGUUUGCUAAAUGACUUUUGAAUUCUGUCAAACACUUCUUAUAACUCUAAGGAGAUGAUCAUGUAGUUUUAAAAAAAAUGUUGGUAUGGUGAAUUAAUUGGUUUUCUAGUAGCAGUAAACAACCUUUCAUUUCUGGAAUAAACCUGAUUUGGUCAUGCCUUAUUUCCCUUUUUAUCUAUUACUAGAUUUGAUUUGCUAAAAUUUUGUUAAGCAUCUAUGUGUCUAUGUUCAUCAGGGAUUCAUUUCUUUUCUUGUAAUCUUAUAAUAGAAUCUUUUGUCUAAUUUGAAUAUAGUUGGUAACGUGGGCCUCAAAAAUGAGCUUAAAAGUGUCACGUUUUCUUUCAUUUCUCUGAAGGAAAUUGUGAGAAUCGACCCUAUUUUUUUUUCCUGAAUGUUAGUUGGAAUUUACCACUGAAGCCUGGAUCUGGAAAUUUCUUUGUGGAAAGAUCUUUUAAAUACAAUUUACUUUAACAUUUUUUACUGAAAUAAAUAUUACAUAACAUAAAAUUCUCCAUUUUAACCAUUUUGAAGUACACACAACUCAGACGUUUUCACUGUAGUUGCAACCAUUACUAUUAUGAAUUGGAGAACAUUUCCAUUGUAUUUCCUAAUUCUUCCUUCCCUAAUUCUCUACUAACCACUAAUCUACUUUCUGUCUAUGUGGAUUAGCCUAUGAAAAGUUCAUAUAAAUGAAAUAAUACAAUAUGUGGUCUGGUAUCUUUCACUUAGCAUAGUUUUUUUUUAAGGUUUAUCUAUAUGUCUCAUGUAUCAAUACUGCAUUCCCUUUAUUGCUGAUAUGCUAUUGUAUGAAUACCCCAUAUGUUUAUCCCUUCAUCAGUUGAUGAAAAGUGAGCUGUUCCAAUUUUGGGUUAUAAAUAAUGCUGCUAUGGUCAUCCGUGUACAAGUUUUUGGGUGGACAUACAUUUUCCAUCUCUUGGUUGUACACUUAGGAGUGGAAUUGCUAGAUCAUAUGAUAACUCUAUGUUUAACUUUUUGAGAAACUGCCAGACUAUUUCCCAAAGUGGCUGUCACAUUUUACACACCCACCAGCAACACAUGAGGCUUCCAAUCACUCCAUACCCUUGCCAUUGCUUUUUAUUAUUUUCCAUUUUCUUGGAAAUGGGUACCAGGGAUUGAACUCAGGGGCACUUGACCACUGAGCCACAUCCCUAGCCCUAUUUUGUUUUUUAUUGGCAACAAGUUCUCACUCAGCUGCUUAGUGCCUUGCUAAAUUGCUGAGGCUGCCUUUGAACUUGAGAUCCUCCUGCCUCAGCCUCCCACACUGCUGGGAUUACAGGCAUGCACCACUGCGCCCAGCCUACUUCUUUCUUUUAAAAAAUACUAUAGUCAUGCCAAUGGGUGUGAAGUAGUAUCUCAUUCAAUAUUACCUUAAUGAUUGAUGACAUUGAGUAUCUUUCAUGUGCUUAUCAGAACUUUUUUUGGAGAAACAUCUAUUUAAAUGCUGUUCUGAGUUUUAAAUUUGAUUGCAUCUUAUUGUUGAGUUGCAAGAGUUCUUUACGUAUUCUGCAUACUAGAUCCUUAUCAGAUAUAUGAUUUGAUCCCCCCAUUCCUACUCAGAUAGAUGAUUUGUAAAUACUUUAUCCAGUUCUAUUGUUUCAUUUUUAAAAUUCUGUUCUUUGAUGUAUAAUAGGCCAUAACUUUUUUUCUUUAGUUACUUGUGUUUUGGUGUCAUGAUCAAGAAAUAAUUGCCCAAUCUGAGGUUACAAAAAUAUAUAUAACUAUGUUGGCUAUGAACAGUUUUAUAGUUUUAGCUUCUACAUGCAGGUCUUUGAUCCAUUUUGAGUUAAUUUUUGUGUAUGGUGUGAAGUAGGGGUCCAACUUCCUUCUUUGGCCUGUGGAUGUCCAGUUCUCCCAGCACCAUUUGUUGUAAAGACUCUCCUUUAUCCAUUGAAUACACUUGGCAACCUUAUCGAAAAUCAAUUGAGCAUCCAUGUCUGAGUUUAUUUCUGGACUCUCAGUUCUAUCCUAUUGAUCCAAAUAUCUAUGCUUAUAUCAAUACCACACUAUUUUUGUUACAGUAGCUUUGAACUAAAUUUAGAAAUCAAAAUAUUAGUCUUCCAUCUUUGAAGUUCUUUUCAAAAUUGAUUCAUCUUGGGGCUGGGGUUGUGGCUCAGUGGUAGAGUGCUUGCCUAGCAUGUGUGAGGCCCUGGGUUCAAUUCUCAGCACCACAUAAAAAUAAAUAAAUAAAAUAAAGGUAUUGUGUUCAACUGUGACUAAAAAAUAAAUAUAAGAAAAAUUGUUUCAUCUUUUUCUGAGUUCCUUGAAUUUCCAAUGAAAAUUUAGAAUUGUCUUGUCCUGAAUUUCUUCAGAAAGCACCAUUUUAAUUUUAAUUAGAAAUUUCGUUGAAACUAUAGAUCAACGUGAGGACUAUUUUGAACUUAAUAUUAACUCUUGGAAAGAUGGAAAGAUCUCCCAUGCUCUUGGAUAGGCAGAAUUAAUAUAGUCAAAAUGGCGAUACUACCAAAACUGGUUAUACAGAUUUAAUGCAAUUCCUAUUAAAAUCCUAAUGAUAUUCUUCGUAGAACUAGAAAAAGCAAUCAUGAAAUUUAUUUGGAAAAAUAAGAGACCAGGAAUAGACAAAGCACUCCUCAGCAAGAAGAGUGAAGCAGGAGGCAUCACAAUACCAGAACUUAAACUAUAUUACAGAUCAAUAGUAAUAAAAACUGCAUGGUAUUGGUACCAAAAUAGACAUAUAGACCAAUGGUACAAAAUAGAAUAUACAGAGACAAACCCACACAAAUAUGGUUAUCUCAUACUAUAUAAAGGUGCCAAAAACAUACAUUGGAGAAAAGAUAGUUAUUCAACAAAUGGUGCUGGGAAAACUGGAAAUCCAUAUGUAGCAAAGUGAAAUUAAACCUGUAUCUUUCACCCUGCACAAAAAUCAACUCAAAGUGGAUCAAAGACUUAGACACUAGAACAGAUAUCCUGUGCCUAAUAGAAAAAAAAGUAGAGCCAAAUCUUCAUCAUGUUAGCUUAGAGUCAUGUUAACUUCCUUAACAAGACUCCUAAAGCACAAGAAGUAAAAUCAAGAAUUAAUAAAUGGGAUGUAUUCAAACUAAAAAGCCUCUUCUUAGCAAAGGAAACAAUCAAUAAUGUAAUGAGAGAGCCUACAGAAUGGGAAAAAAUCUUUACCACACACAAUUCAGAGCACUAAUCUCCAGCAUAUAUAAAGAACUCUAAAAACUUACACACACACACACACACACACACAUACACAAACAACAAUAAAUGUGCUAAGGAACUGAACAGAUACUUCACAGAAUAAGAAAUACAAUUGAUCAACAAACAUAUGAAAAAAUGGUUAUCAUCUCUAGCAAUUAGAGAAAUGCAAAUCAAAACUACUCUGAGAUUUCAUCUCACUCCAAUCAGAAUGGCAAUUAUCAAGAAGACAAGCAAUAAAAAGUGUUGGUGAGGAUGUGGGAGAAAAGGUUUACUCAUACAUUGCUGGUGGAACUGCACAUUGGUGCAACCACUAUGGAAAGCAGUAUGGAGAUACCUCAGAAAACUUGCAAUGGAACCACUAUUUGACCCAGCUGUCCCACACCUCAGUUUAUACCCAAAGGUAUUAAAAUCAGCAUACUACAGUGACACAGCCAUAUCCAUGUUUAUAGGAGCUCAAUUCACAAUAACUGAGCUAUGAACCAAUCUAGGUGCCCUUCAACAGAUGAAUGGAUAAAGAAAAUGUGGUAAAUAUACACAAUGGAAUAUUACUCAGACUUAAAAAAGAACGAAAUUAUGGCAUUUGCAGGUAAAUGGAUGGAACUAGAGAAUAUCAUGCUAAGUGAAAUAAAUCCCACCCCCAAAAAAGCCAAAUGUUUUCUCUGAUUAGUGAAUUCUGAUCCAUAGUGAGAUGGGGGAUAGGGAAGAAUGAAGGAACUUUGGUUUGUACAGAGGGGAGUGAGAGGAGAGGUCAGGCUCUGGGGAUGGGAAGGACAGCAGAAUGAGACAGACAUUAUCACCCUAUAUGCAUGUAUGACUACACUACUGGAAUGACUCUGCACCAUGUAUAGCCAGAGAAAUGAGAAGCUGUGCUCCAUUUGUGUACAAUAUGUAUUCUACUGUAAAAUAAAUAAAUAAAUAUUAACUCUUCCUGUCAAUGAAUAUGAGAUAUCAUUUCCAUUUAUUUUACUCUUCUCUAAUUUCUUUUUUUUUAAGUAUUCUUUAAUUUCUUUCUUUUUUUUAAGGUGUGGUUCUCUUUUUUUUUUUUAAAGAGAGAGAGAGAGGAGAGAGAGAGAGAGAGAAUUUUAAUAUUUAUUUUCUAGUUUUCGGCGGACACAACAUCUUUGUUUGUAUGUGGUGCUGUGGAUCGAACCCGGGCCGCACGCAUGCCAGGGGAGUGAGCUACCGCUUGAGCCACAUUCCCAGCCCCGUAUUCUUUAAUUUCAUUGAACAAUAUCUUGUGGUUUUCAAAGUGUAAGUCUUGCACUUCUUCAGAAAGACCCAUUUUUUUGGCACUGCCUCAGUCUACCCCUGUGACCUACAGCACGGCAACCAGUGCACCCAGAAAUUGGUUCUCUUCUUGAGUGGAAAGCUUAGACUCCAUGCCCUCCAAAGUCUUUCCAACACUAACAUUAUAUGGUGUGUGUGUGUGUGUGUGUGUGUGUAUGUGUAUAAUUUUUUUUUGUACUGAGGAUUGAACAGAGGGCUGCUUAGUGCUUAAAACACGGAGCCACAUCCCCAGUCCUUUUUAUAUUUUAUUUAGAGGCAGGGUCUCGCUAAGUUGCUUAGGCCUUGCUAAGUUGCUGAUGCUGGCUUUGAACUUGCUCUCCUCCUGCCUCAUCCUCCUGAGCUACCAGGAUUACAGGCAUGCACCACUAUGCCUGGUCAUAUCUAUGUUUGACCAGUCACUUAGGCCCAUUGAAAUCUCCAACCCUUUCCUUCUGCAUUCCUCACUGCUAUUACCUGUGUAAUAAGAGUGGGCUCCUCCCUUUAUGUAUGUAUAUAUUUAUUUUUGUGUGUGUAUGUAUGAUACUAUGGAUUGAAACUACUUCACACAUGCUAGGCAAAACUUUACCACUGAGCUAUAUUCCCAGCCCUUUAGAAAUUUAAUUUUGAGACAGAGUUCUACCAAGUUGCUAAAGCUGGCCUGGAACAUGUGAUCCUCCUGCCUCAGUCUCCUAAAUAGCUGUAAUUACAGACAUGCGCCAUCACGCUCAGCUUUUCAGAAGAUUUUUAACCAAAAAUCUAUUCAAUUUUUCUGUUUCUUAGGUAAGCUUUGAUACUACUUUGUGUAUUUCAAAGAAUUUGUGCAUGGCAUCUAUUGACAUAAAGGUAUUUAUAAUAUUCCCUUAUUCUCUUUUUAAUGUCUAUAGGAUCUGCACUGAUGUAUUUAAUUUUAUUUCUGGUAUUAGUAAUUUUUGUUUUCAUUCUUUUAAAAAAAUUUUUAGUUGUAGAUGGACACAAUACCUUUAUUUUAUUUAUUCAUUUCCAUGUGGUGCUGAGGACCAAAUCCAGUGCCUCACACAUGCCAGGCAAGCAUUCCACCCCUGAGCCAAAACCCUAGCCCCAUUUUUUUUUCUUGACAAGUCUACUAGAUAUUAGUUAAUCAUAUUCAUCAUUUCAAAGAUCCAACUUUUGACUUCAUUGGUUUUCUCUAUUGUUUAUAGAAAGUCCAUUUCUGUUUUAUUAAUUUCCAUAUUUUUAUUGCCAGACUUUUACUUACUUUGAUUAGUUUGCNUUUUAAUAUUUAUUUUCUAGUUUUCGGCGGACACAACAUCUUUGUUUGUAUGUGGUGCUGUGGAUCGAACCCGGGCCGCACGCAUGCCAGGGGAGUGAGCUACCGCUUGAGCCACAUUCCCAGCCCCAUAUUCUUUAAUUUCAUUGAACAAUAUCUUGUGGUUUUCAAAGUGUAAGUCUUGCACUUCUUCAGAAAGACCCAUUUUUUUGGCACUGCCUCAGUCUACCCCUGUGACCUACAGCAUGGCAACCAGUGCACCCAGAAAUUGGUUCUCUUCUUGAGAGGAAAGCUUAGACUCCAUGCCCUCCAAAGUCUUUCCAACACUAACAUUAUAUGGUGUGUGUGUGUGUGUGUGUAUAUGUGUAUAAUUUUUUUUGUACUGAGGAUUGAACAGAGGGCUGCUUAGUGCUUAAAACACGGAGCCACAUCCCCAGUCCUUUUUAUAUUUUAUUUAGAGGCAGGGUCUCGCUAAGUUGCUUAGGCCUUGCUAAGUUGCUGAUGCUGGCUUUGAACUUGCUCUCCUCCUGCCUCAUCCUCCUGAGCUACCAGGAUUACAGGCAUGCACCACUAUGCCUGGUCAUAUCUAUGUUUGACCAGUCACUUAGGCCCAUUGAAAUCUCCAACCCUUUCCUUCUGCAUUCCUCACUGCUAUUACCUGUGUAAUAAGAGUGGGCUCCUCCCUUUAUGUAUGUAUAUAUUUAUUUUUGUGUGUGUAUGUAUGAUACUAUGGAUUGAAACUACUUCACACAUGCUAGGCAAAACUUUACCACUGAGCUAUAUUCCCAGCCCUUUAGAAAUUUAAUUUUGAGACAGAGUUCUACCAAGUUGCUAAAGCUGGCCUGGAACAUGUGAUCCUCCUGCCUCAGUCUCCUAAAUAGCUGUAAUUACAGACAUGCGCCAUCACGCUCAGCUUUUCAGAAGAUUUUUAACCAAAAAUCUAUUCAAUUUUUCUGUUUCUUAGGUAAGCUUUGAUACUACUUUGUGUAUUUCAAAGAAUUUGUGCAUGGCAUCUAUUGACAUAAAGGUAUUUAUAAUAUUCCCUUAUUCUCUUUUUAAUGUCUAUAGGAUCUGCACUGAUGUAUUUAAUUUUAUUUCUGGUAUUAGUAAUUUUUGUUUUCAUUCUUUAAAAAAAAUUUUUAGUUGUAGAUGGACACAAUACCUUUAUUUUAUUUAUUCAUUUCCAUGUGGUGCUGAGGACCAAAUCCAGUGCCUCACACAUGCCAGGCAAGCAUUCCACCCCUGAGCCAAAACCCUAGCCCCAUUUUUUUUUCUUGACAAGUCUACUAGAUAUUAGUUAAUCAUAUUCAUCAUUUCAAAGAUCCAACUUUUGACUUCAUUGGUUUUCUCUAUUGUUUAUAGAAAGUCCAUUUCCUGUUUUAUUAAUUUCCAUAUUUUUAUUGCCAGACUUUUACUUACUUUGAUUAGUUUGCUUCCUGACCCCCCACUCUUGGAGUUUCAUAAAUUAAGUGUAUUUCAUUGAUUUGAGAUCUUCUUACUUUUCUAAUAGAAGCAUGUGAUGCUCUGAAUUGCCUGUUACACAUUGCCUUAACUGAACCCCACAAAUUUUGAUAAGUUGCUUUAAUUUUCAUUGAGUUCAAAACAUUUUAUAAUGUCUUUCAGUUUCAUUUUUUGACCCACGGGUUGAGUGUCGUAAUUUCCAAAUAUUUGAAGAUUUCCCCAGAAAUUUUCCUGAUGUUGGUUUUAGUUUAAUUCUGUUGCAGGGUGGCUGGGGAUGAGGCUCAGUGGUAGAGCACUUGUCUGGCAUGCUUGAGGCCCUGGGUUUGAUUCUCAGUACUACAAAAAAGAUAAAAAUAAGUAAGUUUCUUGUAGUAAGAGAAUGUACUCUGGUUAAUUUUAAUCACUUUACAUUUAUUUAGAUUGUUUUAUGGCCCAGAAUGUGAUCUAUUUUUAUAUUGUUUCAUAUGUACUUAGAAAUGAUGUGUAUCAUGUUUGUUAUUACAAAUUUGUAUCACAAAUAUCAAUUAGGUCACGUUUUUCUAUAUUUCAACUGAUUUUUUGUUGUUACUGUUUACUUAUUUCAUCAAUCAUUGAGAGAAGUGUUGAUAUCUCAAUAGUUACCAAUUUGUUUGUUUUCAUCCUUAUUUCUUUGUGAUAUGUUUUGAAGGUAUAUUAGGACUGUUAAAUCUUCUUGAUGAAUUAACCUCUUAUGGUUUUGAAAUGUUUGUCAUUACUCAUUACCACUGAUAAAUAGUUCUUAUUCUAAAGUUUACUGUCUCUGACAUUACAUGUCACUUUUGUUUUAUUUUGAUUUUUAAGAGACAAGGUCUCAUUGUAUUGCCUGGGCUGGCCCUAAAUUUCUCUGUUCAAGUUAUCCACCUGUGUCAGCCUCCAGAGUAGCUGAGACUGUAAGUCCUGCCACCAUACCCAGAAGUGUUCCUUAUUAUUAUUAUUAUUAUUUUUUUUUUUUAAAAAGCUUUCCUCCCGGGCUACGAUUGUGGCUCAGCGGUAGAGCGCUCACCUGGCACAGGCGGGACCCGAGUUAGAUCCUCAGCACCACAUAAAAAUAAAAGCAUUGUGUUAUGUCCAUCUAUACCUAAAAAAUAAAUAUUAAAAAAAAUCUUUCCUCCUUCUUCUCUUCCUCCUCCUCUCCCCCUCUCCUUCCCCUCCCCAUCCCCCUCCCUUUCCUUCCCCUUUCCUCCUCCUCCUCCUCCUCCUUCUCCUCCUCCCCCUCCUCCUCCUCCUUCUUCCAGGGAUUGAACUCUUGACCACUGAGCCACAUCCCUAGCCCUAUUUUGUAUUUAUUUAGAGACAGGUCUCAUUGAGUUGCUUAGCUCCUUGCCAGUGCUGAGGCUGGCUUUGAACUCUCGAUCCUCCUGUCUCAGCCUGGGGAGCUGCUGGUAUUACAGGUGUGUGCCACUUUCCAGUUUAAACUUUCUUUUUGUUUAACUGCUUUACUGAGGUAUUAUAAGUUGCAUAUGUUUAGAGUAUACAUUGGUUCAUAAGUUUUAACAUAUGUAUAGACCCAUGAAACUGUCAUCAUGAUCCAUUGUUCUUUUUUAUUUUUAUAUGUGACACUAGAAACUGAACUCAAGGUCUUGCACAUGCUAGGCUCUGAGCUAUAUCCUCAGCCCUUUUUAUUUUGAAACAGGGUCUUUCUAAAUUACUCGUGAUCCUCCUGCCUCAGCCUACUGGGUAUUAGGGAUGACAGCCCUACACCACCAUGGCUGGCUCUCUUUUGUAUGGCAUGUGUUUUCCUAUUGUUUCACUUUUAACCUAGGGGGGUGUGUGUAUGUGUAUUCUUUGUUGUUGUUGUUCCAGGGAUUGAACCCAAAGGUGCUUAACCACUGAGCCACAUCCCCAGCCCUUUUUAUAUUUUAUUUAGAGACAGGGCUUCGCUAAAUUGCCAAGACUGACUUUGAACUCACGAUCCUCCUACCUGAAUCUCCUGAGCUGCCAGGAUUACAGGUGUGCACAACUAUGCCCAGCUUGUAUCCUUUUUUUAACAUUUAUUUUUUAAUUAUAGGUGGACACAAUAUCUUUAUUUUAUUUUUAUGUGGUGCUGAGGAUCGAACCCAGUGCCUCACGCAUGCUAGGCUAGCGCUCUACUUCUGAGCCACAACCCCAGCCCCCAGUUUGUAUCUUUUUAAAAAUGGGAUCCUUCCUCUGUUUUCAAUCCCAAAUGACAAUCUGGCUUUUUUCUUUCCUCCUCCUCCUCCUCCUCCUCCUCCUCCUCCUCCUCCUCCAUCUUCUUCUUCUUUGUACUGGAGAUUGAAUCCAGGGGUCCUUUAUCACUGAGCUAAAUCCCCAGUUCUUUUUAUUUUUUGUUUUGAGAUAGGCUUCCUUCAACUCUGUCCUAUCUAAGUAAGUGAUAUCCUAAACAAUCAUUGCUGUAAAAUGCACACCUUGAUAAAAUGGUCGUUCGUCUCUAUGAUGUAUUAAAAUAAAUUCCUAUUAAAAUUUUUUUAAAUGCACAUGAUCAACCUAAAAGGAUUUCAUAUCUUACACUCCUGGUUUUCACCUGUUCUUGGUAUUAUGUGUGUGAGUGUGUGGGUGAGCUUAGGUGUGAGUAUGCAUGUGAGUGUGAGUGUGUAUGUGUGGCUGAUGAGCACAGGCGCGAGUGUGUCUGAAUGUGUGACAGGUGCGCCUGAGGGUGGAGACUGAGCACAGUGUGGGACGGAGGUGGGAGGAGGACUGGGCUGUCCACAAAAUGAAGAGUCCUCUUGGGGCUGAGCCCCUCUGGCUAGAUCGUCGUGCAUCAGGAACCAGGCAGGGCAGAGAAGAGGCACGUGGGCCAAAGACCCUCCAGCCACAUGCCUGCUUGUUCUUCUGGGGCCCUCAGAGCAGGGACGCUUGCUGGCCGAGGGAGCACCUAGUUACAGCCCCACAUCCUGGUAACCAUUGCCAGGGACUGGGAGUGCUUCUGGGAACAGCAGGAGCCAGUGAGCGGGGGCAGAUCCUUCGCUGCUAUAUUUGCAGUUCUGGAUUUAGCACAGGACCUUGAGAAGAGGGACUGAGCUCCCAAGUUUUCAAUACCCUUAUCCCCCAGGCAACCUUGUGCAAGGGAAGAUUUUAACAGGAGUUCAGAGAGGCUAAGGAAGUUGUUCAAGGUCACACAGCCAGGACAUUCAGAGCCAGAACAGGACCCAAGUCUUUAGGUUUUCAGGUCAAGGGCUUUUCUGAUACAGUCCAGGCAACUCAACAUCCCCCACCCCCAGACACAGUGACAGCCACUACCUGGAUGUGAGAACAGGAUGGCAUGCCAGGUACCCCCUGAUUCCAUAUGCUGUUCCCACAUAUGUGUUCUCAGUUAAAUGGUUUUGAUGCCCAUUUCUAUGACAAAACCCUCAGCCAGGAAGCAGCUGCUCUUUGGGGCACAGAAGACCCACCAGCACGAGUGAUAUUCCACUCAGGAGCAGCUGGAGCAUUGGAGCAUUGAGGGCACUUGGAGGAGCUUAUGACUGUGGCUACUGAGCAAGCAGAAGGGAAGCCUUUCAGUAUUUAAAUCAUUCUGGCAUAUUCUGGCUGCCUGUCAGCCCUGCCCAAGGGAUCCUGUUUUUCACUCAGAGGUGGCAGAUGAGGAAGUCCCUCCCUCUGACCCUUCCUCUCCCCCUCCCUCCCUCCCUUGUGUUUACUGAACCCUUUAGUGUGUGGCACAACAGUGGUGACUGAAGAUAUGAGGAUAAUCAAAUCCAGCUCCCUGGAGGAGCUCCUGGCUGCUUUCCUAAGAGAUUCUCUCCCAGAAAUCUGGCCCCAAACCCUAGGCUAUAGAGGUGGAGGGUCAGUGUGCUCAAAGUCCACGGCAGACUCAUCAUGCACACAGGGAGCUCAGCCUUGGCCCCAGAUUGUCUUGUGUAGGCCUCACAGAGGCUUCGCAUUAAAGACGGUGGAAUCAAUGCUGCCAGAUUGAUUGUGGCAGCAUUGGACUGUGCCCGCUCAGGUUGGAUGGCCACUGGGAAGGCCCCAGAUUUCUGCAUCAGGACCUGCCUUCCUCUGGCUUGGUGGUUCUUUAGUGAACACAGAAUCACUCUAAAGCAUUACUAGGUAUUUAUUUUAAUAUGUCAUGGAGAAUAUCUUAGUCUGUUUUCUGUUGAUAUGACAAAAUACCUGAGACUGGAAAAUUUAUAAAGAAAAGAGGUGUAUUUAGGUUAUAGUUCUGGAGGUCUGAGAACAUGAUGCUGACAUCUGUGUGGCUUCUGAUGGCAGCUUGGGCUGCAUCAACCCAUGGCAGAAAAGCAUGUGGGGAAGAGCUAUGUGUGAGUGUCAGGGGUUGCCAGGCUCACUUUAUAAUGGUCCACUCUUGAGAUAACCAAUGUGGUCUCAUGAGAGCUGGAACUCACUUCUGCAUUAAGAAAACCAUCAGUCCACUCAUGAAGGUGGGUCCCUUGUGGCCUAAACACCUCUUCAAAAGUCCCACUAUCUCCCAACAUUGUUACACUGGGGACCACGGCUCCACAUGAGUCUUGGUGAUGACAAACCGUAUUCAAAUCAUAGCAGAGACAAAUGACAAACCUGUCAAAUGAGGGGCUUCACCCUCAUGGCUGCUCAGAACUUGGAGUCCUGGGGAAGGAGCUGGAAUAACAGCUCUAGCAGAGAGCGGGGAGAGACAAAGGUUCCCCCUAAAAACGAAAUUCGAAUGCUGCUUUUUAAAAAAGGGCAGAAUACAUGCUGGGUUGACAAAUAACAAACUUCCCCCCAACCAGUUUAGGAGGAUGGUGGGUGGUGCUGGGGACAAAGCACCCAACUCAGGGACCAAGGAAACCUGAGUUAAGACCCAGGGCUGGCACAUUUGGCUCUGGAACUGUGGACAUCCACCACUAAAAAUCCAACUAGAUUUUUAGGGGGAAAAGAAUCCCAAAUUCUGCCACGUGUGGUGGCAUACUCCUGUAAUUCCAGCAGCUCAGGAGGCUGAGGCAGGAGGAUCACGAGUUCAAAGCCAGCCUCAGAAAAAGCAAGGUGCUAAGCAACUCAGUAAGACCCUGUCUCUAAAUAAAAUACAAAAUAGGGCUGGGGAUGGGGAUCAGUGGUGAGUGCCCCUGAGUUCAAUCCCCAGUGCCAAAAAAAAAAAAAAAAAAGAUCCCAAAUUCUUUCAAUGUGUGAUCUGUCCUUGAAUCGGGGCCUGGACCAGAGCUAUUCAUCCUAUCUGCAAGGUUCGCUAUCCCCUCUUCUCUGUGGUUGAUAAACAGCUUUCAGAGCCCACUUGCAACCUCAACCUGCCUAAGUACCUAUGAGAGGGACAGAGGCAGAGACAGGGAUUGGCUUACAUGAAUCAUAAGGACUGGCAAGUCCCAAAUCCCUGUAGGGCAGACGAGAAGACUGGAAGUUCAGAUAAGAGUUGAGGUUGCUGUCCUUUAUUUUUUCUCAGUACUGGGGAUUGAACCCAGGGCCUCACAUAUGCCAGGAAAAUACUCUGGCUACACUCCCAGGUGCCAAAGUAAUCGCUUUUUUUUUUUUUUUUGGUACCAGGGAUCAAACUUAGGGGCACUUAACAGCUGAGCCACAUCCCUAGCCCCUUUUUACUUUAUUUUGAGACAGAUUCUCGCUAAUUUGCUUAGGGCCUCACUAAAUUGCUGAGGAUAGCUUUGAAUUCACAGUCCUCCAGCUUCAGCCUCCCCAGCCACUGGAAUUAUAGGUGUGCACCAUGGCACCUGGCCCAAGUUAUAGUCUUGAAUUUAAAAUCUGCAGGGCAGCAGGCUGUAAACUCAGUCAAGGCUUCUAUUUUGCUGGGGGUUUUUUUGUUUUGUUUUUUGAUACUGGGCAUUGAACCCAGGGAUGCUACCACUAAACCACAUUUUCAGCCUUUUUUAUUAUUUCUUUUUUUUUAUUUUGAGAUAGGACUUUGGUAAAUUGCCCAGGCUGACGUCAAACUUAAGAUUCUCCUACCUCAACCUCCUGAAGUGGCUGGAAUUAUAGAUAUAUAUCUGGCUUCCUUCAGUUUAGAUCAGUUCCCAGCCAUUAUCUCUUUAAAUAUUUAUCCUUGCCCCUACUCUCCUUCUGGAACUGGUAGCUAAGGUACGUCUCAUUAUUUCCCUCUAAGUCUCUUAUACUUGAUUGCUUCCAUAUUUUUCUAUUCUUUCCUUGGUGCCCGGUGGCAGGGAGAUUUUUUUCCACAGGCAUUAUCCAACUUGCUAAGUGUCUCUUUAGCUCCAUUUUGUUCUGCUCUUUGAACCUUUUUUUUUUCUUUUACUGGAUUUGAAUGAAUCCAGGGUUUUAGGGUUUUUUUUUUAACCACUGAGCUACACCCUCAGUCUUUUUGAUUUUUUUAUUUGAAGACAUGGUCUUGCUAAGUUGCUGAGUUAUGAGGGUCUUGCUAAAUUGCUGAGGCUGAUCUUGAAUUUGUAAUCCUCCUGCUUCAGCCUCCUGAGUUAUUGGGAUACAGGCAUGCGCCACAGAGCCAGUAGUUCAUUAGUUUUAAUAAAUAACUUCUUAACACUAAUUUUUUUUUACUUUUAGAACUUCUAUUUGAUUUGCUUCCCAUAAACUUUUCCCAUAUUAUCCUGUUCUUCAUUUUUCUUUCUAUUAAAAAACUCUUUAUAAUCAUUUAAUUUUUUUUUUUUUUUUAGAGAGAGAGAGAGAAUUUUUUAACAUUUAUUUUUUAGUUUUCGGCGGACACAACAUCUUUGUUUAUAUGUGGUGCUGAGGAUCGAACCCGGGCCGCACGCAUGCCAGGCAAGUGCGCUACCUCUUGAGCCACAUCCCCAGCCCCAUCCUAUAAUCAUUUUAAAUGUUUAUGUUUUUAUGUCUUUCUAUGACUUCCACUUCUUCAGGGGUCAAUUCUUUCAUACUCAGUUGUUUUUGUCUUUAUUGAUCAUCUUGUGGUUUAUUUCCCUGUGUGGUUUACAAUUUUGGUUUGAGAACUUAUCUUCAGUGGGGUCAUUUUUUGCUGUGGAUGUCUGUGAGCUCUGGGUUGUAAAAAGGUCAUUACAAAAUACUUUGGGUUUUGCUUGUAUCAGGAGCCUAGGUCCUGUACUAAUUUUUAUGUUAACUUUUUGGCACAGGAGUCCUGGGACCAAUGACCUGUGUUAUGGUUUAGAUGUGAGGUGUCCCCCCAGAAGCUCCUGUGUGAUGCUGAGAGCCAUAGCCAAGUAGGAAUGACGCAUGGCAUUUUUGGUUGAAAGGUGACCCCAGCAAGCCAUUGAGAUGAUAAUGAUUAUGUUAAGAUGCGCAUUCAGUUAGAGAUUAGAGCCCUGCUGUCUGCCUAGGCCUGCUACUUUGGAGCUCUCGCGGGACUCCAGGAGAGUUCCCAUUGGUUGGGGAAGUGUGUUAGGAGGGAAUUCCGGAGGAGGGAGUUCCUGUUGGAGUAGUGUGUCCCAGGAGGAGCCGCGUGGCUUGGAUCGGCAUUUUUUCCCCGGGAGCGUGUGUGGAGUGUGCUGGUGGAGUUCAGAAAUAAAGUUUGUUCCUGCUUCAGUGGCUCGUGAUUUGUGCCCAGCCAGACUGCGGCAGUGUGAGAAUGCUAGAAGGUUUGGAGAUAACCGAUUGGGUUCUGAGAGCCUUAACCUAAUCAGUGCAUUAAUCCUCUGAUAGGGAUUAACUGGGUGAUGACCAUAGGCACCAUGAUGACCAGGGACCAUGUGGCUGGGUGGGUCCCUGGGGUGUGCCUUUGAGGCGGGGCACAUUUUGUUAGCUGAGUUGAGUCUCUCUUUUGCCUCUUGGUGGCCAUGUCCAGACCUGCUAUCGUCUGCCACACUCUUCAUGUCACCUUGGGCUCAGAGCAAUGGAGUCGGCUAUCUGUGGCCUGAAACUAUGAGCCCCCAAAUAAACUUUUCCUCCUCUAGUUGUUCAUGGCAGGUCUUUUGGUUGCAGCGGUGAAGAAGCUGACUAAAACAUCAUGCCAAACAGGAUUGCAGAGAAAACAGCCCACCUCACCUCCCUGUGGGGAAGGCCUGGAUUCUCCAUCUUUCACAGAAACUUUUCUCCCACCCAAGCCAUAGACUGUGAGAUAGCUUCUUCUGCAGGCCUGUUUGAUAGUUUUUCCAGCUUCAUUUCCCUGACUCUUGAAGGCCCUAAUCUCUGUUCAGGGGGAUGAAUUCCAGCUCCCCUGAUUCAAACUACUGGGGCUGCCUCCUGUCUCUAAAAGAGCCUCAGGCUUUAUCCAUGCAAAACCCCACAAACCUCAGGUUCAGCCUCACUUCUCUUUUCUGGCUUGGAGUUUUUGUUCUCUCUGGAACCUGGGGAUUUUGCUUUACUUUCAUUUGAGCUCAGCUGUGCAUCUUCAAGUGUUUUUUCUUGUAUUUUCUGCAGCUUUUCUGUAAAAUAGCAAGAGAGGGGCCAUCAGGAACAGCUCAGCAUGGCAUGUUGCUGAAAGUGUUCUGCUGCACUGGUCUGUGAAUUUCCCCAUAAGUUCAGCUCCUCCUUUAGACUGUAAACUCCAUGAGGCAGGACUGGGUUAAUUUUGCUGGAUGACCAUCAUCCAAAAGGGACUGAGCAUAAAGUUGAUACCACCGGUUAUCGGUGACGAGUUCUGCUUCCUCACAUGUUAAAGUUUGAAUAUUAGAGAAGCACACUAAGAAAAGCAUAUGAAGCAGGGUUUAUUUAAAAAGGGGUAACGUAGACUUCUCCUGGGAGGGAGAAGGGGGCCAUAGCUGGUAUCCUGGUAUCCCAAGAGAUGAGGUGUUCUGCCGUUUUUUUUAUAUCCUAGGCUACCUUUGUUCUCCUGCCCUCUUCCCCUUAUCAUUCUCACUAGGCCCAGGAAUGCUCAGUGGGAGGGCCCAAAUGUGGGAAACAGGUGGGCUGAAGGGGGAAGGGCAGGAUGGUUCGACCCUUAUAGCUUCCUUUAUGGAGGGACAAUUCCUGGGACAGGUUACCUUGGCAACAGGUUGGAGCAAGGGCAGGUUCUUGAUAAGGGUGGAGGAAUUAACAUUUCAGUCCCUCAGGGGACAGUCUCCAACUUGCUGGACUCAUUCAAAAUUGGUCUGACUGGAUCUGACCUGACUCGAUUUACCUAUACUGAUUGCCUGUCUAAUUCUGGCUUCAGAGUGAGGACUCAAUAAGAAUUUCUCUCUGAGGACAUGAAUACCUAGUUCUGAUGGCCGUUGAGAGAAUAUAGCAAGAGAAUACGAAACAUGCUUGGUUAUGGUGGGGGUUCAGAAAAGCUAGCUCUUUUUUUUUUUUGGUACCAGGAAUUGAAUUCAGGGGCCCUUGACCACUGAGCCACAUCCCCAGCCCUAUUUUGUAUUUUAUUUAGAGACUUAUUUAGAGACAGGGUCACACUGAGUUGCUUAGUGCCUCACCAUUUCUGAGGCUGGCUUUGAACCCACGAUCCUCCUGCUUCAGCCUCCCGAACUGUUGGGAUUACAGGCAUGUGUCACCGCGCCCUGUAGAAAAGCAAGCUCUUAUAAUAAUUUUGUCCAUAAAAACAAAGACUCUGGGCUGGGGUUGUAGCUCAGUGGCAGAGCGCUUGCCUAGCACAUGCGAGGCACUGGAUUUGAUCCUUAGCACCACAUAAAAUUAAAUAAAUAAAAUAAAGGUAUUGUGUCCAACUAUAAUUAAAAAAUAGAUAUUUUUAAAAAACACAAAUAAAAUAAAGGUAUUUGUUUUGUCCAUCUACAACUUCAAUUUUUUUUUUUUUUUUUUUAAAUCCAAACCACACAAAGACUCCACCAUGAGGGCUUAUCUGAUUCAGCUUCCCUCUGACCUCAGACCAGAGUCUUGACCUACCUAGAAUGGAGGCAGCUGUGAGUGUGGCCUCCUGCGGUCUUCCCAGAGUACAAGGUCAGCCCUUCCUACCAGAACAGUCAGAGCAUAUUGGCUUUAAGGAGAUCCCUGGUGUCUGAAGAUGAACCCCACUCUGACUGGUCCUGUCCUGUGGGUGGUCCCUGAUUAUGCUAUUAACAGUGACUCCUUGUACUUCCAGGAUUUUUUUCUCUAGAAAUCGUAUACUUAAGAAGUUUGUUGAGAAAAACAAAUGCAUAUGAUAAAUAAUAAUUGAUUUAUUUUUGCAUUUUGAUGAAUCAGACAUUCAGCUGCCUGAACUUCCAAUCAUCAUGAUGUCAAAUUAUUUCAGCCCAAAGCAAGAAAAUGUAACAUUUUAAUCAGUGGUGCAGUUUUUGCUGGGUGAAUACAUUAGGGACCCCCUGCAUAAUUCUCCAGCAAGUGAUCCAAGGGUGACCCAAAGGGGGUUCUAAGAUGAGGUAACCCAGGGGCAGCCUCAUAAACACUAUAAUCCAAAGAAACUAGUCAGCAGCAGUGGGAGGUAAGAGCAGAUCUGACAAGGCUUAGAUUGAUUAACUGAUGGAUUGAUUGAUUUGGUACCAGGGAUUGGAUCCAGGGGUACUUAAAGACUGAGCCACAUCCCCAGUCCUUUUUUGUAUUUUAUCUAGAGACAGGGCCUCACUGAGUUGGUUAGGGCCUCACUAAGUUGCUGAGGCUGACCUUGAACUAGUGAUUCUCCUGCUUCAGACUCCCAAACUGCUGGGAUUACAGGCAUGCACCACCAUGUCCAGCAAGGCUUGGAUUUAGAUAACCUUGGGAAACAGUAUUGAACAUAUGGUGUGUGUGAGAGAGAGAGAGAGAGAGAGAAAGUUAACAUCUCCUUCGACAUGUUGGAAAGAGCCAGUCAAUGAGGGACUUAGAUCUAUAGACCAUAAUAAUAAUAACGUAAGAAAUGCCUAUUGUAGCCGAGCAUGGUAGUGCAUGCCUGCAAUCCUGGUGGCUUGGGAGGCUGAGGCAGGAGGAUUGCAAGUUCAAGGUCAGCCGCACCAAUUUAGUGAGGCCCUAUCUCAAAAAAAAAAAAAAAAAUUAAAAAAGGAGGGUUGUGGGCUGGGGUUGUGGCUCAGCAGUGGAGCGCUUGCCUAGCACGAGCACGUGCGAGGCCCUGGGUUCGAUCCUCAGCACCACAUAAAAUAAAUAAAUAAAUACGUGUAUUGUGUCCAACUACAACUAAAAAAUAAAUAUUAAAAAUGGGGGGUUGCUGGGGAUAUGGUUCAGUGGUUAAGUGCCCCUGGGUUCAAUCCCUUGUACUAAAAAAAAAAAAAAAAAGGAAAUUCCUAUUUUAUGCAGGAACCCUAUUUAACUUAAUGCUUUUCUUUAAAACCCAACUGUAAGGUGGAUACCAUCCCCCACCUUACAAAAGAGGAAACCAAUCUGAAGAAUCUGGACUCAUCCCCGCCUGCAAGUAGCUAGUGGGUCAAGAGCCAACCUCAUCUGAUUUGCAAGGCUAGCUUCUAGCCACCAAAUGAUUGCCUCUCCACACAUGACACAUGAGUUGAGAGCACUGGUUCCCAGUUUUGCUUGCUGGAAUCUCCUGGAGAGCUUUUAAAAAAUGCAGAUGCCUUUGGGUUGUGGUGGCUCAAAUCUGUGAUCCCAGGAAUUUAGAAGCCUGAAGCAAGAGGAUCACAAGUUUGAGGCCAGCCUCAGCAAUUUAACAAGACUCUCUCUCAAUAAAUAAAUAAAUAAAACCUGACGAUGUAGCUCAGUGGUAAAGUACCCGGAAUUCAAUCUCCAGUACCAAAAGUAGGACCAGUAGCAACACAUAGUUUUAUUCCCAGAGAUUUUAAUUUUGGGGUAUCAGAAUCUUUAUCAUAUUUCACCACAUAAUCAUCACAGCUUAUGUUUUUCUUCAGAUGGUUCACCACUUAAAGGUAAAAGCAGCAACAUCUUCCCCAGUGGCAUUGGAUGCACAUUUGUCUUCCCAGGCACCAGAGUCCCAAGCCUAGAAUUCUCAGCACUUGCACAUGGUCUGUUCUAUUUGAAAGCCAACUGGUUUGUUUAGAGUGCCAUGGUACUAACAAAAACACAUCUUGGGCUGGAGUUGUGGCUCAGCGGUAGAGCGCUCACCUAGCAUGUGCGAGGUCCUGGGUUCGAUCCUCAGCACCACAUAGAAAUAAAUAAAUAAAAUAAAGGUAUUAAUGUGUCCAACUACAAUUUAAAACAAAAUCUCACCUGAGAGUCUGUGAUGGAUACCACCACAUCAAAUAAAAAAACUGAUAAUAGCAGUGCAGAAUCUUGGGGCACAGAAGAUUAGAUUUUGCAAAUCCAAACUUUGCCACACUGUACUGAAUUUUCUCAAGUGUAAUAUUUUGACUAAUGCACAAUAAAUAAAUAAUAACAAUAAUAAAUAAAUCAAUAACAACUAGUGUGUUAACUUUUCUUUCAGACCAAAAAAUUGUUCACUAAAUUUUCAUGAAGAGAUGAUGUGGGUCAAGGUGCACUAUUCGAUUUUAAUGUAUUUGUGAGUAUUCCAUACAUCCUAAUCUUGCACUGAAGACAGUUUAGAAAUAAAUAAUGUUAAGUAAUACUGGAACAAUUAAAAAAUAAAAAAGAGCUGGGUGUGGUGGCUCAGCUCGGAAACUUGAGGCAGGAAAAUCACAGAGUUCAAAGCCAAUCUCAGCAAGACCCUCUUAAUUAAAAAAAAAGAGGCUGGGGAUGUAGCUAAGUGGUUAAGUGCCUCUGUGUUCAAUCCCCUGUGCCAAAAAAAAAGAAAGAAAAAAAGACUUCACAUAAUAAUCCUACCUUACCUUUUUGCAAAAAAAAAAAAAAAAGGAAUAAAAUUUGUGACAAUAAUGUGGUGAAAUAUGGUUUAAAAAAUCCCCCAAAGAUUUUUAACACACAGAUAAGGCUGAGUGCCACUGAGCAUCACUGACAGUACACAGCCCCAAGCCCACCUAGGUCAUUUGCUGUUAAUAUCACCUGGUCUGUCUGACUAUCCCUAGGAUUAGGAAAAGGGCCAAAGAAGCCCAGAGGAGUAUCCCAAACUCUAAGUCCAAGAUCUGUAACUGGGCCUGGCCUCGAGCCAAACUGGGAAAUGGGCAAUAAUUAAUGGCAACUUGAUGACAGUAAUAGUUGGAACAGUAAUUUGACAAUUUAUUUCAAUGCGACAGGUCGUCUGCAUACUCUGUUUUAUUUGUUCUCACAACAACACUCCUAGAUACGUGUUGUAACUCUUUCCAUUUUACAGAUGAGGACACAGGGCACAGAAAUAUUAAGGGGCCAGUCCAGAGCCACUCAGCUAGGCUGGGUGACAGUGCUCUGGACCACUACCUUUUCUGUGCUGUCUUUCCAAUCCCAGAUCACUUCCAACUCUGCAGCCCCUGGGCCACCUCAGGACUCCCCUACCACCCACAGUUCUCUGGUGCCUAAUUUACUGAGUGCCUGCUCUGCCCUGGGGUGGUGGGUCAGGCAAUGCAUGUGGGUAACAUGGGCAUCCUCCCCUGCCCCCACUGAAUCUCAAGGUCAGGGAGAGAUCAGACCAAAACAGGUGGAAGGAUGCAUAAGAGGACUGGGGUGGUGGUUCUGGGAUCUAGCAGAUGGAGCCCCUAGUUGACAGAGGGAUCCUAAUCCCUAGUCAGCAAGCUCCCAAGGUCACCAUAGUCCUCAGGAAGCAAACCUGGGCCUGGAUCCUGGAGCCCUGUUUCUGUUCUUGAAGGGAGGACCUUGUUGAGAUUGGUUACAACUGAGUUCAAGGCCAGGAGCCUCAACUCUGUGGACCUAAUUUUCUCAUCCAUAGAACCCCCUUCAUUGCAGUUUCUCUAAAAAGACUGGGCAAGCCCAGACGCGGCCAGACCUGGCAGGGUGGAUGCCCACUCGCCCACUCGCCUGCAGCCGUUCCCUCCCCCGCCUCUGCUCUCAUCCCUGGCGCCCAGCCUGGCUGCAAACCACUUUCCAGCAGUGGCUUCCGUGGGGAAUGGAAACUCUGAGAGGAACCAUUUCUCUUUGUAUUUCCCCAGCAACCAGCAGAGGCCUGGCCAGGGCGCCUAGGGAAAGGCCCAGCAGACUGAAUUGUCCACAGCUGGCAGUCCCAAGGAAUGACUCACACUCCCGGAAAGAUGCCUGCCUGUCCCCACCAACCCAGCCACUCACCAGGUCACCGCCUGGUAAGUCAGGGGCUGUCAACCCUGGCUGCAAGGCGGAAUCAGCAGGAAGAGAACUAGGGGAGCGGGGAGGCCUUCAAAAUUCUGAUGCCCAAGACAGUGGAACAGACAACGCAAGGGCCCUGAGGGUGAGGCUGGGCAUCACUGUUUCUUACAGUCUUUCUCAGUGUCAUCUGAGGGUCUUUUAUGGGAAAAGACCAGCAUGUUUGCUUAAAAUGCAGCCUCCAGGUGGAGGCCCACAGCAAAUGGAUCAGGCUCUGGGGAUGGGUUCUAGAAUCCAGACCCUUAACCCCCUUCCCUAAAAUUUUUUCUUUCUUUCUUUUUUUCUUUUCACAGCAAGUUUUAGGAAUCUCUGCUAUUUGGAGGACUCCGCUGUGAGGAACAAACAGGUCCAGCUGCCCACAGACCCAUUGUUCACUGGGGGAGAUGAGAGGGUUUGCCUGGCCCUGAGGCGGUUGGGGAAGGAAGGGCUGGAGGUGGAAGAGAGACCUCGGCUGAGGGAGGCGCCUUUCUGGAGGGCCAGGAAAGUUGGGCCUGGGAGGCUUCCUGCAGGAGAGAGGGAUGCAUUCCUCCCAUUCCUUAAGGGUGAAUUUCUAAGGGUAGGAUUUCAAGGGUAGUAAAUAAAAAGGGCAGGUGGAAUAUCUAUUUAUUUAUUCAUUUAUUUCCCUUAGUCCAUUCCACGGUUAAUCUGCUUACUCUACAUCAGCUGGAGCCUCCAAGGUGGGGGUGCUAGUCUACCCAGACUGCCAUUACAAAAUACCACAGCCCGGGCCCUGGGGUACUGGGGAUUGACCCCAGGAGUGCUCUACUGCUAAGCCACAUCCUCAGGCUUUUUUUCCCCAUCUUUUAUUUUAAGACAGGGUCUCCAUAAAUUGCCAAGGCUGGCCUCAAACUUGUAAUCCUCCUGCCUCAGCCUCUGGAGUCUCUGGGAUUAUAGGUGUAGUCACCAUGCCCAGCCAGGCUGGGUCCUCCUUACACAGCCUAAAUUUACAUGUCAUGGUUUGGGAGGCUGGAAGUCCAAGACAGAGAUAACAGCAAGGUAAGUUUCAUCCUGAGAUCACUCCUCUUGGCUUAGAGGUAGCAGCCAUCUUGCCGGUGCCUGCUUGGCCUCUUCUGUGAGGAAGAGAGAAAGGAUAAGGCAGUUGGGAGAAGAAGACAGAGUGGGAACACCCACACUGCUCCUUUAGGUGACUCUCACUGAUCCCACUGAUUCAGGGCCCCCACCCUUAACAGUCUCUUUUAACUACUUACAUCCUUAAAAGGUCUAUCUCCAAAGACAGUUACAUUGAGGAUUAGGACAUCAACAUAGGGAAUCUGGGGGAGAUGAUUCAGUCUAUAGCAGUGGGCUUCUCAGCACAGGCCCAAAGAACCAUACAGGUUACAGGGUUAUCCAGGGGAACUGGGCCCAAGUGGCAGAAGGUAAAGAACGACCCAUCAGUCCCCCUACUGCACCUACAUUCCUGCUCAUAGUUCAGGGCUUUGACCUGGGGGAGGCAGAGGAAGCCCUGCUUCUUAUCUUAGGCCUCUGGAGACCCAGGAUUGGGAAAGAAGGAGACUGGGUCCAAUUGGCCCAUGAGGCUGGCCAAGGGGGUCCCUGGGAAUCAGACACAGAGAAGCAGCAAUGACUCAGGUGACCAUGGACUCGAUGCAGCUCCCUCCCCAGAGCAUCUUCCAGGGGCACAGGUGGCCUCCUGGGCAUCUCCUCUCAGCUGUGUCUGCAGCAACUUCUGUUCACUGUCCUCUGCUCUUCACCGUGUCAGGCACCAUGUGGCCUCUGCAGGUUGACUGUGAACAAAGGCAGAGGAGCCCUGCUCUCAUGGAGUUCACAUCUGAGUGAGUCCGGCAGCAGCCAAUAGAACAAUAAAGAAGUUGAGAAGUAACAGUCAAGGCUACUGGUUGGUCAGGAGAAAGUAUGAUGUAAGGCGGGAAAGACAAAGUAGUGGAUGUGCAAGGAGGUGAGCUAUUUUUGCUCUGGGCUCAGGGAAGUCUUCUAGAGAGAAGACACUGGGCAGAGAGAGACCUAAAUGGAGGAAGGAAGUGGGCAUGUAGAUUUAAGGAGAAGAGCAUUUUAAGAAGGAACCGCAAGCAUGGUGGUUCCAAGGCCAGAGGAACUAGGCAUGUGUGAGCCAUAAGAAGAAGGUCAAAGGGCCUGAGGGGGGAGCAAGGAGAGCCCCAUGGUGAAUGGGGCUGAGGGGUCUGCAGAGCCAAAUUACAGGGGCCUGUGGGGCUCACCUUCUUCUCUGCGUCUGACAGGAGGCCAUGAAAGUUUGGGACAGAGGAGUGAUGUAACCUGACAGGCUGACAAGGAUUGCUCUGCUAUGUGGAAACAGAGGACCCGUGGGGAGCAGGGAGAGCCAGGGUCAACUGCAGUAGGUCAGGGGGAAGAGGCAACAGGGGAUUUGCUUUGGGGGUGGCUAUAAGGGAUGGAUCAAGAGCCACGCAUUGUACUUUGAAAGUUGAGCUGAAGGUAGAGUGGCGGUGUCCUGUGAGGGGCAAGGAGUCAAGUUCAACUCCUAAGUCACUGGUGUGAGCUUCUGAAUGAUGGUAGUGGCGAGGGGGAGUUCAAAUUCUGUUGGGACCUUUGAAGUUCAAAGAGCCUGUAACCACCCCAGUGGAGGUGCUGAGUCUCCGUGAGUCUGGAGCUGAGGAAGGCGCGGUGGCUGGUCAGGCUGGAGGAACGCAUUUCAUCUGCUUUUACGUGGGACCUGCUGCAGGGGAGAGAAGGGAUUCCCUGGGGAAACACACAGCAGGGUAAGAGGUGGGAGCACCUCCAACAUGGGGAGGUCAGAAAGAGGAGGCCCAACCAGCCUAAGAUACGGAAGAAGAAGAUUCGCUAUGGUGGCAAGUGCACACAGAGAGGACAGCUCAAGUGUUGGUGAGUGAGGUGAGAGACAACCUGGCUCAUGAAAUCUGGAGAAUUGACGACUGGGCCCCUCAGAGGGUGGUAGGGACCAAGGCCGGAGAAGAGCCUGGGUGGGGACAGGACAGGAGAUGGAGAUGCAGAACAGGCAAGUUAAUUGGGGGAUUUUGCUGUAAAAGACAACAGAGAAAGAAACAAUGCCCCAGCUAGAGGAACAUGCCAGGACCAGCAGGUUGGUCACCAAGGGCCUCUCUAUGAGGUUUCAGAGCUGCAGAGCAGCCUGUGGGAUGCUGUCAGUCAGGAGUAGGUGUGUCCUCCCUGAGAGGGGACUUUAAGGCAUGAAGGUAUCAAGGACUUGGUAGGGGAUAGUGGGCCUCUGCCAGAAGUCUUUCUUUCUUUUUUUUUUGGUGGGAGGGGGGUACCAGGGAUUGAACUCAGGGGCACUCCACUGAGCCACAUCCCCAACCCUAUUUUGUAUUUUAUUUAGAGACAGGGUCUCACUGAGUUGCUUAGCAUCUCCCUAUUUUCUUGCAAUCCUCCUUUCUCAGCCUCCAGGGCUGCUGGGAUAAUAGGCGUGUGCUACUGUGCCAGCCAGAACUCUUUCUUGCCAGCCUGAAAUUCCACCAUCACUGUUUUUGCCAGCUGGAUUUGUUAGAAUCAUGGAGACUGGAAAUGUAACUCAGGGGUAGAGCGUUUGCCUCACAUGCACAAGGCCCUGGGUUCAAUUCCCAGAGCCAUGGGGAAAAAGAAAGAAAGAAAGAAACAAACAAAAAUACAAUCAUGGAAUAGUAACUAAAACAAAC